GGCGUAAGCGCACGCAGGCGGUCUGUCAAGUCGGAUGUGAAAUCCCCGGGCUCAACCUGGGAACUGCAUCCGAAACUGGCAGGCUAGAGUCUUGUAGAGGGGGGUAGAAUUCCAGGUGUAGCGGUGAAAUGCGUAGAGAUCUGGAGGAAUACCGGUGGCGAAGGCGGCCCCCUGGACAAAGACUGACGCUCAGGUGCGAAAGCGUGGGGAGCAAACAGGAUUAGAUACCCUGGUAGUCCACGCCGUAAACGAUGUCGACUUGGAGGUUGUGCCCUUGAGGCGUGGCUUCCGGAGCUAACGCGUUAAGUCGACCGCCUGGGGAGUACGGCCGCAAGGUUAAAACUCAAAUGAAUUGACGGGGGCCCGCACAAGCGGUGGAGCAUGUGGUUUAAUUCGAUGCAACGCGAAGAACCUUACCUACUCUUGACAUCCAGAGAACUUAGUAGAGAUGCUUUGGUGCCUUCGGGAACUCUGAGACAGGUGCUGCAUGGCUGUCGUCAGCUCGUGUUGUGAAAUGUUGGGUUAAGUCCCGCAACGAGCGCAACCCUUAUCCUUUGUUGCCAGCGGUUAGGCCGGGAACUCAAAGGAGACUGCCAGUGAUAAACUGGAAGAAGGUGGGGGAUGACGUCAAGUCAUCAUGGCCCUUACGAGUAGGGCUACACACGUGCUACAAUGGCAUAUACAAAGAGAAGCGACCUCGCGAGAGCAAGCGGACCUCAUAAGUAUGUCGUAGUCCGGGAUUGGAGUCUGCAACUCGACUCCAUGAAAGUC
rnacentral:rRNA from 1 species